rnacentral:lncRNA from 1 species
CAUAGGUAUAAUGUGUAUUCAUUUAUUUUCAUGUGUAUCAAUUUUCAGGGAUUGAGGUAUACUUGAAUUUUUGGUGGAUUUUUGAUUUCAUGGUUUUGCCAAACUCUCCAUACAGAACCUUUAAAAAAAACUGUUAUUUGAUGAACAUUUGAAUUUGUGGUUCACCUCGACCCUUAAAAACACAUGAAAAUUGGUAUCCAACAAAUAAUAAUGAAUCCACAGUAUGUUUUAAAUCUUCAACACAUCAGUAGAUAUACUUACUGAACAGUUGUAUCAAAGUUGGUCAUCAUUUUACAACUUACUGGUGUUCUAACUUCUACCCCUGAGGACUAUGACAAAUCCUCAGUGUUGAAGAACACUUUUGGUCUACCACAACAACACUUCAGGG